ensembl:antisense Gm20387 predicted gene 20387
GGAACUUCAUCAAAGUCAGGACGCGGAGCAGCUUCCCCAGCUGGACCAUGCCGCUCCGGAUGCUGCUGCGGUAGCGGCGGCGGCGCUGGAGGGGAUGCUGGUGGGCUCUCCCAGGUCCCGGCUUCUCGAGAAAAAAUGGAAGUCUGAAACAGCUUUACCUUAAGCACUUGAUCAACUACAUAAAAGUAUAGAUUGAUUCUUCUGGAUUUAAGACCUCACUUUUGGACCAAUAGCUGAGCCUACUGCCAUAGGCUGCCUGAACAAGUACCAAGAGGCCAGAGAAGAAUUGGAUGUUCUCCAGUCCUGGAACUGGAGUCAUGGAUAUCUGUGAGUGACCACGUUGGUCCUGGGAGACCAACCAACCAACCAACCAACCAACCAACCAACCAACCAACCAACAGCAAAAUCAACAGCAAAAGCAUCUAGUUUUCGGCAAGAGCAUAAAGUGCUCUUAACCACUGAGCCAUAUCUCCUGCCUCAAUUUCAUCUGAUUUUUUUUCCUAUGAUUUCACUUUCCAUUAUACUGUAUGGAAAACACUUUCUACUUUUAAUUUCUGUCUGUUGCAUAUGUGUGUGGGUGUCUGCAGGCCAGAAGAGGGCAUAGUUAUCUCAUGUAGCUACCACUGCAAGCAAUCUUGAGCAUCUCAGCAUGGGUGCUGGGACCCACACCUCCUCAGGAUCAGCAAGAGCUCUUAGCUGAUUAGCCAAACCCCAUUAUCUUUUCUGUAUAUAUUUAAAUCUUAUUUGUAAUAUACCAAGCUACCGUUAAUUUCUGCUUCUUUUUUUUCCCUAUAUGUGAACAUAUUUAAGUAUAGGUAAGGCCUAGAAGAAGUUGUCAGCUCUGGAACAAGAUUUACAAGUGACUGGUAAGGUACUGAAUGUGACUGCUAGAAUCUGAACUCAGGUCUUCAAGAGCAGAAAGUCCUAUUAGCUGCUGAUGCAUCUCUCCCCCCCCGCCUUAGUAGCAUUUCUUAAGCUAAAACAAACUAAAUAUCAUUCCUUUCUUCAUACAUAUAUCCAACCACAUGUUUUGGAUUUUUUUUUCUGACAUAGCAUCUCAAGAAUCCAUUUUUCCAAAAAUAAGAUUGACCUUCUUGCCGGGUGGUGGUGGCACAUGCCUUUACCUUUAAUCCCACACUUGGAAGGCAGAGGCAGGUGGAUUUCUGAGUUGGAGGCCAGCCUGGUCUACAAAGUGAGUUCCAGGACAGCCAGGGCUACACAGAGAAUCCUUGUUUCGAAAAAACAUAAAAGAAAAAAAAAUUGACAGUCUUAUCCUUUUACCUCCUAAGCAUGGGGAACAAACAUGGACUCAUCACGGUUAUAUACAGUGCUGGGGAUUGACCUUCAUACUUCUCCUAUGCUCACAACCAUCUGCAACUUUACUUCAAGGAUUAUGUUUAUCUUUUCUGAACUUUCUUAGAACCAGACACAUGAUGCACAUACACAUGCACAGGCAGAAUUCUCAUAUGCAUAAAAUGAAAAUAAACAAAAAUUCACCUAGUGAAUUCUAUCUUCAGAUAGAAUAGAAUGGAGACAGAAUUAAAAUGGACAUUCCACACUUACUUUACAUUAUUAAAUAUGGUCACUUUUCCCUGGAGAAAAAGACACUAUUACAUUUUGUGUUGUAUUUUUCUGAGAUUCGGUUUUUGGUAGAUAUAUUUAUGUCAUUUAACUAUCAUCUAUUCCUCAUAUUUCUUUUUUCUUAUUGUUAAAAUAUCUGGUAUUGCACAGAAAGACAUAGUAAAAGUCUCUGCAGGUCAGGUCAAAAGUC